AGAGGUAAGGGUGAUCUGGCUGUGACAUCUGGCACCCCUCUGAUUGGCAGGGUUGAUUUGGAUGAUCUGGCUGGCUGGGUGGGUGUUCCUUUCCUCCCUUACUGCUCCAAGUGCAUCCCUCCUGAAGCUGCAUGCUCAGUAAAAAGGAUGACCUUCCCUGAACAGAGGAGGGCUGGUCUUCGGUCAACGGUGUAUGAAUAGCUGUGCUCCCCUGCUAGAACCUCUAACAAAGUUCUUAGGGUACUGGUGAGAUGGCUCAGCAGUAAGGCACUUGUCUGCAAAGCCUAACAACCUGGUU
rnacentral:snRNA from 1 species